AAGGGAGGGCAACCUUGGUGUUUGUGGUGGAAAGGUGAGAGAGAGAAAUGGGGAGAGAUAAAGGGAUGGUGGCAUCUGUCUGCGUGUGCCGUCAGUAAGAAGGUUAGAGAUUAUAAUCCGUUCUUCUAUACCUCUUGGACAGAUGAAGAGAAAGAGAUUGAGAUAAAAUGUCUGGAGAAAGCAAGAUAGCAAGGCAGCUCAAAGAGACAUCUCAAGGAAAAAGACAGAUAAAAAUAUUUCAACCACUCUGAAAAAAAUAACAAAUGCCUUAUCCCAAAGCGCUUCAUGGAGAUUGUCUUCCUCUCAACCACACUUAAACCUCACAUUUAGAUCCUUCAAACCUGUCAAAUCUGCCUCUCCAUCUAAACCAGGCUCCCAGCUGUACAUAUGAGUACAGAAGAAUCAAACCUCAACUCUGAUUUCAACAAAAAAGAGUGGCAGACAUUUGAGUGCGUCCCAUCCAUCACAAUGAGACAAGCAGUCUCUGGGGCUGAUAAGGCAGGUCUGUGUCAACAGCCUGUCAAUGAAGACAAACGAGGAGGAGGACAACUGCUGGAGGUGCAGAGCAUCAUUUAUCUCUCUCUGUUUGUCUCUGUGAGUGUCUGUCUCUUUCUCCGAGCGCCUGAGAGCCUGACAGUAAAUAUUUCAGGGGCAAUGCUCUCAUCUGCUGGUGUUUGGGUGAAGUGACUUCAUGGUUACAGCUUCAAAGUAUAACCACAAAUCAAAACAUUAGGAGAGUUUCAAAACUUCUUAGAGAAAAACACAGGUGACAGUUCGGUUGAUAUAUUUCUUACAGACCCUCUCUCAAAGGCUUGUGACCAUAUUGAUUAGACCUAUUACGGUUUCUGAUCAUUAUUCACUUAAUAAAGAAAGUUCUAAUGCAGACUGUUGGCUAAACCCAGAGGAUAGCCUAUAAUUUGAGACUACGUGAUAUGUCAUGCAGGAUACCUAGGGUUAACAGUAAAUUGUAUGUCAUUUUACAGCAUUAAAGUGAAAUAAAAGAAAAAUAGAUGUUUUUUUAGAUUACGAUAAUGCACACUUUUGGACACUUCAUAGGUUAUCUGGUUCAUUAAUCUCGUAAUGAUAGAGAAUUUCACGAGUUUAAAUUCACUUUUUUUUUCAACAAAAACAAAAUUAAGUGGCUAGUUAUACAUAAGAACGCGAAAAGCAACUCUGCAGCUUGUGUGUUUGGGGAACUCACAUGUUAACACAACUUGCAAAUAUUGCGAUAGCUAAACUUAUCCCACGGUUGCUUACGUACAUUACGAAAUAUCUUAUUUACACAUUAGAGAUUUAAGAUAAUGCGAACUUUCGGGCACUUCCAAGGUUAUCUGGUUUAUCAAUUCCCUGAUGAUAAAGAAUUUCACGAGUUUGAAUUCACUUUUUUUUCCCACCAAAAAACAAAAUUAAGUGGCUAGCUAUACAAAAUAAGUCGUAAAACAAUUCUGCAGCCUGUUUGGGGAACUCACAUUUUCACGCAGUUGGCAAGUAUUGCGACAGCUAAACUCACCUCACAAUUACUUACGUACGUUGCGAAAAAUCUCAUUUACACGUUAGAGUUGUUGCAUUUUCUUUCAAUUCGGACUUUCUUUGAGUUUUCUCGUUGUUCUCAUAUCCAUAAUACCAAAUGUUCUGCAUAUCAUAGAAUUUUCAUCUGUGGGCCUCUAGUUAAGCUAAGGAAAGGUUUCUGUUGGUUUAAGGCCCUUAUUAUUCCUCAAGAAUGAAAGUUGAAGGGAUAUUCCGGCGUAAAAUUAAAUUAGGGUCAAACACACAAAACACCGAGUUUAGACUCCCCGUUGACAGAUGAAUGUUGCAGACCGCUUGCUUCUCUAGUUUUACCAACUUUAGUAACGACCGCAUAUAGCAAUACAUACAGAGAGCCACGCGCUCAACCAAAAAGCCAAAGGACCGUGAAGAUGGUGAACUAUGCCUGGGCAGGGCGAAGCCAGAGGAAACUCUGGUGGAGGCCCACAGCGGCCCUGAUGUGCAAAUCGGUUGUCCGACCUGGGUAUAGGGGCAAAAGACUAAUC
rnacentral:lncRNA from 1 species